CACGUAGGGAGCAAGCGUUGUCCGGAUUUAUUGGGCGUAAAGAGCUCGUAGGUGGUUCGGUAAGUCAGGUGUGAAACCUCCAGGCUCAACCUGGAGACGCCACUUGAUACUGCUGUGACUGGAGUCCGGUAGGGGAGCGUGGAAUUCCUGGUGUAGCGGUGAAAUGCGCAGAUAUCAGGAGGAACACCAGCGGCGAAGGCGGCGCUCUGGGCCGGUACUGACACUGAGGCUCGAAAGCGUGGGGAGCAAACAGG
rnacentral:rRNA from 1 species